CAUGUAUGUGGGCUAUGGCAAAGG
rnacentral:misc_RNA from 1 species